rnacentral:rRNA from 1 species
UACGUAGGGGGCAAGCGUUGUCCGGAAUUAUUGGGCGUAAAGAGCGCGUAGGCGGUCCGAUAAGUCGGCUGUGAAAGUCAGGGGCUCAACCCUUGGAAGCCGGCCGAUACUGUCGGACUAGAGUCCGGAAGAGGCGAGUGGAAUUCCCGGUGUAGCGGUGAAAUGCGCAGAUAUCAGGAAGAACACCCGUGGCGAAGGCGGUUCUCUGGGACGGUACUGACGCUGAGACGCGAAAGCGUGGGGAGCGAACAGG